GACAGAGGGUGCAAACGUUGCUCGGAAUCACUGGGCGUAAAAGGCGUGUAGGCGGGUAGGCAAGUCGGGCGUGAAAUCCCUGAGCUCAACUCAGGAACUGCACUCGAAACUGCUUAUCUUGAGUGCCGGAGAGGAAAGCGGAAUACCUGGUGUAGAGGUGAAAUUCGUAGAUAUCAGGAGGAACACCGGUGGUGUAAACGGCUUUCUGGACCAUAACUGACGCUGAGGCACGAAAGCGUGGGUAGCAAACAGG
rnacentral:rRNA from 1 species